rnacentral:rRNA from 1 species
GUGACCUCAAAUCAGGUAGGACUACCCGCUGAACUUAAGCAUAUCAAUAAGCGGAGGAAAAGAAACUAACAAGGAUUCCCCUAGUAACUGCGAGUGAAGCGGGAAAAGCUCAAAUUUAAAAUCUGGCAGUCUUUGGCUGUCCGAGUUGUAAUCUAGAGAAGUGUUAUCCGCGCUGGACCGUGUACAAGUCUCCUGGAAUGGAGCGUCAUAGAGGGUGAGAAUCCCGUCUUUGACACGGACUACCAGGGCUUUGUGAUGCGCUCUCAAAGAGUCGAGUUGUUUGGGAAUGCAGCUCAAAAUGGGUGGUAAAUUCCAUCUAAAGCUAAAUAUUGGCGAGAGACCGAUAGCGAACAAGUACCGUGAGGGAAAGAUGAAAAGAACUUUGGAAAGAGAGUUAAACAGUACGUGAAAUUGCUGAAAGGGAAACGCUUGAAGUCAGUCGCGUCGUCCAGGGAUCAACCUUGCUUUUGCUUGGUGCACUUUCUGGUUGACGGGUCAGCAUCAAUUUUGACCAUUGGAAAAAGAUCAAGGGAAUGUGACAUCUUUGGAUGUGUUAUAGCCCUUGGUUGCAUACGAUGGUUGGGAUUGAGGAACUCAGCACGCCGCAAGGCCGGGUUUUUAACCACGUACGUGCUUAGGAUGCUGGCAUAAUGGCUUUAAUCGACCCGU